ACGGGUGAGUAAUGCCUAGGAAUCUACCUGGUAGUGGGGGACAACGUUUCGAAAGGAACGCUAAUACCGCAUACGUCCUACGGGAGAAAGCAGGGGACCUUCGGGCCUUGCGCUAUCAGAUGAGCCUAGGUCGGAUUAGCUAGUUGGUGAGGUAAUGGCUCACCAAGGCGACGAUCCGUAACUGGUCUGAGAGGAUGAUCAGUCACACUGGAACUGAGACACGGUCCAGACUCCUACGGGAGGCAGCAGUGGGGAAUAUUGGACAAUGGACGAAAGCCUGAUCCAGCCAUGCCGCGUGUGUGAAGAAGGUCUUCGGAUUGUAAAGCACUUUAAGUUGGGAGGAAGGGUUGUAGAUUAAUACUCUGCAAUUUUGACGUUACCGACAGAAUAAGCACCGGCUAACUCUGUGCCAGCAGCCGCGGUAAUACAAAGGGUGCAAGCGUUAAUCGGAAUUACUGGGCGUAAAGCGCGCGUAGGUGGUUUGUUAAGUUGGAUGUGAAAUCCCCGGGCUCAACCUGGGAACUGCAUCCAAAACUGGCAAGCUAGAGUAUGGUAGAGGGUGGUGGAAUUUCCUGUGUAGCGG
rnacentral:rRNA from 1 species